rnacentral:rRNA from 1 species
GAUGAACGCUGGCGGCGUGCCUAAUACAUGCAAGUCGAGCGAACAGAUGAGGAGCUUGCUCCUCUGACGUUAGCGGCGGACGGGUGAGUAACACGUGGAUAACCUACCUAUAAGACUGGGAUAACUUCGGGAAACCGGAGCUAAUACCGGAUAAUAUAUUGAACCGCAUGGUUCAAUAGUGAAAGACGGUUUUGCUGUCACUUAUAGAUGGAUCCGCGCCGCAUUAGCUAGUUGGUAAGGUAACGGCUUACCAAGGCAACGAUGCGUAGCCGACCUGAGGGGGUGAUCGGCCACACUGGAACUGAGACAGGGUCCAGACUCCUACGGGAGGCAGCAGUAGGGAAUCUUCCGCAAUGGGCGAAAGCCUGACGGAGCAACGCCGCGUGAGUGAUGAAGGUCUUCGGAUCGUAAAACUCUGUUAUUAGGGAAGAACAAAUGUGUAAGUAACUAUGCACGUCUUGACGGUACCUAAUCAGAAAGCCACGGCUAACUACGUG